CGACCCCAGUCAGGCGGG
rnacentral:rRNA from 1 species